GACCCGUCUUGAAACACGGACCAAGGAGUCUGACAUGUGCGCAAGCCGUCGCGCCACUCAAGCGCAGAAGGCACAGUGAAAGCGUUGGCCGGUGCUUGUCGCCGGCCGUUGUUGGGAUCCUCCGCCCCACCCGUGGGGCCGGAGGCGCACCAACCGUCCGCCUACUCCGUACCGUUCGGUGUGGCGGAACGUGAGCGGACACGUCGGGACCCGAAAGGUGGUGAACUAUGCCUGGGCAGGACGAAGCCAGAGGAAACUCUGGUGGAGGUCCGCAGCGAUUCUGACGUGCAAAUCGAUCGUCAGACCUGGGUAUAGGGGCGAAAGACUAAUCGAACCUCCUAGUAGCUGGUUCCUUCCGA
rnacentral:rRNA from 1 species